UACAGAGGUCUCAAGCGUUGUUCGGAUUCAUUGGGCGUAAAGGGUGCGUAGGUGGCGCCAUAAGUCAGGUGUGAAAUCUCGGGGCUCAACCCCGAAACUGCACUUGAUACUGUGGUGCUCGAGUACUGGAGAGGAGAUUGGAAUUUACGGUGUAGCAGUGAAAUGCGUAGAUAUCGUAAGGAAGACCAGUGGCGAAGGCGGCUCACUGGCCCGUUUCUGACGCUCAUGCACGAUAGCGUGGGGAUCAAACAGG
rnacentral:rRNA from 1 species